GGGGUUGACUGGAAUUGACGGGAAGGUUAAAUCCAAUGUAAGCAUGCGAGGUGUUGUAAGUAUUACCUCUUAAAUAUAAAACUUACACAGUGCAUAAACGGCAACUUAGCUGUUAUCAAUCCUCGCCGUUGCAAAUUUGUUGCGCUUCGACGAGAAGAAGAUGAAGAUGAAGGAGAAGGCGGCGAAUUGCUUCUGGCUGCUUAAUCGAUAGAUUAAGGGGGAUUUGUCCCGCUGGUUUUUGUUCUAUGGGAUCAGCAUAGGGGCAUCGAUGCAUAGGACUAGUGUUGCUAGGUGCGUGAUGGCGACAUAAGCAAUAACUGCGCAUAAGCGUAACAUCAGGUGUGUGGCUGACCUUGGUUGCGCCGACAAUAAACAGUGACUAAGCAUGUAGAAAGCGUUGCGAUUGUCUUGUUCGGACGAGGGUUCGAUUCCCUCCAGCUCCAC
rnacentral:tmRNA from 1 species